rnacentral:lncRNA from 1 species
GUGGUGGCUGGCGGUGAGCACAGGCACCCACGGAAGGAGCUGUGAGUCUCUGUUUAUGCCAGACUGAAAACGGAAAUGGUCAGCGGCGAGGGAGUCAUCAGGCAGCAGAGCAAAGGGUGGCAUCUUUCCCUACCCUCUGCCAGGUUUUUCAUGGCUGGCCCAUAAAAACCCCCAUUUCUUCGUCCCACCCUCCCCUCCAUUUUUCACUCUGGUCGUCUGCUUCCGUGUGGGGCUCCUAUCAGCAGCAGUUUCUCUGGAGAGAAAUAAACGGGCACCUGGUUUUGGUCUCACCCGGAGACAGAGAACGAUACCCUGUGCUGCCUGUUUUGCGUGGUUCUGAAGGGUGUGUGUGUGUGUGUGUGUGCGUGCCAUGCACACCUGCUCUGCCUGCCCAGCC